ACUAGGUGACCUUCUGGACACCAGCUCUGAUGUCAGUUAUGUGUAAAGCCAGGCAGAUGGGUCCAGAUAGUCCUGGAGAUUUCCACCUACUGAAAUGUUUCCAUACUUAAUUUCUACUCAGAGAACCUGAAGUCACUUCUAACAGUAUCUCUCAAGACCGAUACAGUUGAGCUCCAUCUGCCCUUCUAACAUCGGCGGCCUGGCAACAGUGUCUUGCUAAGCUGGGAAACAUGGUAUGGUGAGAAGGUCUCUAACUUCGGUCAAGACUCAGUUCUGCCACUCUCCACAAUGACUCUGGGCAAGUUUUUAUUGAAGCAGGUCUGCCCAGCCUCUGCCUGCCUGCAGGAACUUAGAGACACACUAGCACUCUAUGGACGAGCAAAGACCAAAGUCAGGAGCAGAUCUUCAUCAAAUGGUGAGGAUUCCAUCUCAUCAGCCAGAGCAGUCAUCAACGAAGCCAAGGACAGCUCUCACAAGUUGUCCUUGAACCUCCACACACG
rnacentral:lncRNA from 1 species